GGGGCCGUCGCCCAGCCAGGUCAGGGCGCCAGACUGUCAAUCUGGAGGUCGCGGGUUCAAAUCCCGUCGGCCCCGCCA
rnacentral:tRNA from 1 species